AGGAUGAUCCGCACACUGGGACUGAGACACGGCCCAGACUCCUACGGGAGGCAGCAGUGGGGAAUUUUGGACAAUGGGGGCAACCCUGAUCCAGCCAUGCCGCGUGAGUGAAGAAGGCCUUCGGGUUGUAAAGCUCUUUCGGCCGGGAAGAAAUCGUGGUCUCUAACAUAGGCCAUGGAUGACGGUACCCGGACUAAGAAGCACCGGCUAACUACGUGCCAGCAGCCGCGGUAAUACGUAGGGUGCGAGCGUUAAUCGGAAUUACUGGGCGUAAAGCGUGCGCAGGCGGUUUUGUAAGACAGAUGUGAAAUCCCCGGGCUUAACCUGGGUAACUGCGUUUGUGACUGCAAAGCUAGAGUACGGCAGAGGGGGGUGGAAUUCCUGGUGUAGCAGUGAAAUGCGUAGAGAUCUAGGAGGAACACCGAUGGCGAAGGCAGCCCCCUGGGGCCUGUACUGACGCUCAUGCACGAAAGCGUGGG
rnacentral:rRNA from 1 species